CCUACGGGAGGCAGCAGUGAGGAAUAUUGGUCAAUGGACGAGAGUCUGAACCAGCCAAGUAGCGUGAAGGAUGACUGCCCUAUGGGUUGUAAACUUCUUUUAUAAAGGAAUAAAACGAGGCACGUGUGCCUUUUUGUAUGUACUUUAUGAAUAAGGAUCGGCUAACUCCGUGCCAGCAGCCGCGGUAAUACGGAGGAUCCGAGCGUUAUCCGGAUUUAUUGGGUUUAAAGGGAGCGUAGAUGGGUUGUUAAGUCAGUUGUGAAAGUUUGCGGCUCAACCGUAAAAUUGCAAUUGAUACUGGCAGUCUUGAGUACAGUUGAGGUAGGCGGAAUUCGUGGUGUAGCGGUGAAAUGCCUAGAUAUCACGAAGAACCCCGAUUGCGAAGGCAGCUUACUAAACUGUGACUGACAUUGAUGCUCGAAAGUGUGGGUAUCAAACAGGAUUAGAUACCCUAGUAGUC
rnacentral:rRNA from 1 species